GAUGAACGCUGGCGGCGUGCCUAACACAUGCAAGUCGAACGGAAAGGCCCUGCUUUUGUUGGUUGCUCGAUUGCCGAACGGGUGAGUAACACGCGUGUAUCCCGUCCUUGUCUUUCGGAUAACUUCACGAAACUCGGGCUAUUACCGGAUAUGAUCUCCUGCUCCAUGGUGGUGGUUGGUAAGUUUCGGCGGUUGGGGAUGGACUCGCGGCUUAUCAGCUUCUUUGUGGGGUUGUGGCUUACCAAGGCUUUGACGGGUAGGCGGCCUGAGGGGGUGAGCGGCCACAUUGGGACUGAGGGAAGGCCCAGACUGGUACGGGAGGCAGAAGUGGGGAAUAUUGCAGAAUGGGCGGAAGCCUGAUGCAGCAACGCCGCGGGCGGGAAGACGGCCUUCGGGGUGUAAACCGCUUUCGCCUGUGACGAAGCGUGAGUGACGGUAAUGGGUAAAGAAGCACCGGCUAACUACGUG
rnacentral:rRNA from 1 species